GGUAGUAUGGCUGAUAAAAGCGGUAAACUGUAAAUUUACAUAUAGGUAAUCCUUGCUGCCA
rnacentral:tRNA from 1 species